CAUAAGGAAACAAGCUUUGGGAGGAGUCCAUUUUGUUUGUUUUGAUGGGAGCAGAGGCAUCCAGUAAUCAGGAGCAGCUCGCCUAGGGAUUUCCUCCGGUGCUCAGUGGGCAACAGAAGUUACAGUUUGCUCAUCAGGCAGGUUCUGAUGCAUGCUUUAGAUGGUUCUCAUCUGGAGCCUCUGCUAGGAAGAACUGAAGAGUGACUCAUGACUGGGAGUUGGAAUCCUCUGGAGACCCCCUUUUCCUUGAUCAUCUCUGUUGCUUAGCCUGACCUACGCAAGGACUAGGACUACUGACUGGAGGUCUUUGCUCCCUCACAAAAUACUGCCUCAGGGUAAUCAGACUUGUCACAUGUCAGUGGAAUUAUAAACAAAGGGGAUGAUGGUACAUUGUCUUUCAUGGCCCAUCUUGGAAGAUGCAUACCCUAUUGUUAAUUCCAGCAUACUCCAUUGGCCAAAGCAGUCACGAGCCUGCCCAGAAUCAAGAAGAGGAGAAUUAGACUCCACCUCCUAAUGGGGAAGUGGCAAAGCCACACCAUAGAAGAGCAUGUGGGAUAAGAGGUGUUGUUGCAUCCGUUUUUGGAAAAUAAAAUCUGCCACAGUGAUGUUGGGAAAAUGGAUUUAGAAUCUAAGUGUUGAUUAAAGGAUGUCUAGGAGUCACAAUCAGACAUUUAAACUGCUGGGGUACUUUGAGGUUUGAUGUCAUUUUAAUACUCUUUAUCUGGUAUCGAUCCCAAAAGGGUAAGUUGACUUUCUCAAUUUUGCUAUUUUUCACCCAUCAGUACAUAAUUUGAGUGUGGAAUACUUGUCUGGAAGAAUCUGGUGACUACCUAUAUUCUGAAUACUAAAAUAUCUAAGUAGUCCAAAUUCAUAUAUAGUUUGUGUUUUCUUCCAGCUUCUCAUAAGUCCCUGGUGCUAUGGUUCCUCUGCAAAACAGUUAAAGAUCCCUUGAAAAAUCUUGUUUUGCUUUCACAGAAAUGUCAUGAAUAUAAAGUCUUUUUGAUGAUAAAAAGAAUUUUAUGAUGCUCAUGUAUAUCCUUUAGUUUUAUAGAUGGAAGAUGGUGUUGAUAAUGGCACGAUAAUUUAUAUCAGACUCACUGAGCAGAUCAUUGCAACUGAGUUUUUCACUGAAAAAUUCAAUUACAUUUCUCUACAUUUUAACACCACUGCCAAAGGAUGCACUGAAAUCUUUCCUAACUCCCUUCUAGACAAAAAAAAAAAAAAAAAAAAAAAAAAUGUUCUGCCACAAAGAGUCUCUUAAGAUUCUUGAAGGACAUUUCUCCUUGUCAGUAUGUAUUCUGGGGGAGGACUAUGCUGUUUCAAGAUACAGGCUCAUCAGUUAUUCUCUCGGUAAAUGUAAAAGCUUUGACUGUCUGAUUGCAAAGACAACACCUGAGAGCUAUUACUCUUAAUGUAUCAAACCUUUCCAGAAGAAAAUAUAUCUACCAUUUUUAAAA